rnacentral:rRNA from 1 species
GACGAACGCUGGCGGCGCACCUAAGACAUGCAAGUCGAACGGUCUUCGUCUGUUCUUCUUCUUUGGAGGAAGAGGAGGGGGGGAUAGUCGGCGGACGGGUGAGUAACACAUAAGGGACCUGCCCUAGAGGGGGGGAUAGCCUGGGGAAACCGAGGGUAAGCCCGCGUACGCUCCCUGGCAUAGCGGCCAGGGAGGAAAUGCUUCUUCUUUACGGAGGGAGUAGCUCUGGGAGGGCCUUGUGGCGGAUUAGCAGUUGGAGGGGUAAGGGCCCACCAAGGCGACGAUCCGUCGCUGGUCUGAGAGGAUGACCAGCCACACCGGGACUGAGACACGGCCCGGACUCCUACGGGAGCAGCAGUUA